UACGGAGGGUGCGAGCGUUGUCCGGAAUCACUGGGCGUAAAGGGCGCGUAGGUGGCUUUUCAAGCGCGCGGUGAAAGCCCGGGGCUCAACCCCGGGUCGGCCGUGCGGACUGGGAGGCUCGAGCACUGUAGGGGCGGGUGGAAUUCCGGGUGUAGCAGUGAAAUGCGUAGAGAUGCGGAGGAACACCGAUGGCGAAGGCAGCCCCCUGGGCUAGCACUGACGCUCAGGCACGAAAGCGUGGGGAGCAAACAGG
rnacentral:rRNA from 1 species